AAAAAUGUGUUCUAUAGUACGUGUAUAUUAACAUGAUAGUGUAUUUUCACAUAAAUAAAAAAGUGUUACAAUCUGUAAAUAAAUCACAAUUAAUUCAGUCUACAGUUAUGCUUGUCGUUGUUUUGCUGCUGGUUUCUUUGGAAUGGUGCUCGUCACCUGUACAUGUAGAAGCUCGCUGGUGGGGCGGAGGAUCAAAAUAUAAAGUGGUAAAGAAAGAUAAAACCGGUAAAUACAAAAUCGUAGUUACCAGUAAUGCACAGUUAGUGAAAGAGACACCGGGAAAGAUGUUAGAAGAAGUAUCAAAAUUAGUACCUUGAGGCUGAAUGACAUUGAACUAAUCUGCUGAAAUGGUUAUUGAUUUAUGGAAAACUUUAAAUGUAGAAUUAUUGAUAAAUCCCUCUGCAUGUGA